AAUUAAGUACCAAUUAAAAAUUGGGGUCGAUGUAAUCAACUGGUCCUCUACCCGCAAAAUUUCAGGCCUUGUGCCUUCAGUAAAAAGGAUUAUUAUUAUUAUUAUUAUUAUUAUUGAACUGGAUGAAUAAUUAGAGAAUCAAACAUGGGCUAUUUCAUUUGGUUCUUUACUUUCAGAGUUCAAAACCCGUCAAGAUCAAUUUUGCCUUUCUUCUCCUCAAGGGUUGAUAAAAUAAUAUACCCGUCACGAAUUGGGCUCAAUAUAAUUGAAUAUUCUCUCCUGCCAAAAUUUCUGGCAUUGUUGAUCUUGGCGGAAUUCUUUAUGUUUGUUUUAAGCUGAAAUUCUUCCAAGGUCAACUGUACCGUUCAUCCUUUCGGAGUCAAUAAACUAAAGUCUCAGUGAAAUACUGGGUUCAAUGAAAAAGGGACUAACCCCUCCCUUCAAAAUUUCUCACCUUGUGCUGUAUUAUUAAAGGUGUCAAACUGGCAGACUUAUUUAGAGCAUUAGAAAAAAAUGCCCAGCUGUUUUUUUUUUCUCUGGACCUUUAUGUUCUGAGUUCAAAUGCUGCCGAGAUCAAUUUUGCCUUUUGUCCUUUCAAGGUCAAUACGAUAAAAGUAUCGGUCAAGUAUUGCGAUUGACAAUAUUGGCCAUUUCCCUUCCCCUCAAAAUUACUGGCCUUAAACCAAAAUCAGGAACCAUUAUUAUUCUGAUUAUCUUUUGGGGUGGCAAGCUGGCACAAUUGGUAACAUGCCAGACAAAAAGCUCUUUACGUUCUGGGUUCAAAUUCUGCUAAGGUUGACUUUUCCUUUCAUCCAUUUGGGGGACAAUAAAAUAAGUACCAGUUGCGCACUGGGGCCAAUGAAAUUGACUAGCCUCCACCCC